rnacentral:rRNA from 1 species
UACGAUGGGCUCACCCAUACAGCGAUGAACUACAAGGCUAGAGUUGUAGGGUCACGGAUCUAGUGUAGCGUGAAUGCGUAGAUAUUAGGAAGAACACAGCGGCGAAAGCGCGUGACUGGGCCAGUACUGACACUCAUGGACGAAAGCUAGGGGAGCGAAAGGGAUUAGAUACCCCUGUAGUCCUAGCCGUAAACGAUGAUAACUAGGUGUUGCCCGUAUCGACCCGGGCAGUGCCGUAGCCAACGCGUUAAGUUAUCCGCCUGGGGAGUACGCACGCAAGUGUGAAACUCAAAGGAAUUGACGGGGGCCCGCACAAGCGGUGGAGUAUGUGGUUUAAUUCGAUGCAACGCGAAGAACCUUACCAAGGCUUGACAUGUCGCGAAUUCCCUUGAAAGGGGGAAGUGCCUUCGGGAGCGCGAACACAGGUGGUGCAUGGCUGUCGUCAGCUCGUGUCGUGAGAUGUUGGGUUAAGUCCCGCAACGAGCGCAACCCACGUUUUUAGUUGCCAUCAUUUAGUUGGGCACUCUAGAGAGACUGCCGGUGACAAACCGGAGGAAGGUGUGGAUGACGUCAAGUCAGCAUGCCCCUUACGCCUUGGGCUACACACGUACUACAAUGCUACGGACAAAGGGCUGCCAACUCGCGAGAGUGCGCUAAUCCCAUAAACCGUAGCUCAGUUCAGAUUGCAGGCUGCAACUCGCCUGCAUGAAGGCGGAAUCGCUAGUAAUCGCAGGUCAGCAUACUGCGGUGAAUACGUUCCCGGGCCUUGUACACACCGCCCGUCACACCAUGGAAGUUGGCCACGCCCGAAGUCGUUACCCUAACCGUAAGGAGGGGGGCGCCUAAGGCAGGGCUGAUGACUGGGGUGAAGUCGUAACAA